GUACUCAGGUGAAUAUGAUGCUUGUGAUGUUACUCUGAGUGUAUAUGUAGCUACGCUCAAGCUUGCCCGGUGUGGAUAUACACUCAGAGUAACAUCACAAGCAUCAUAUUCACCU